rnacentral:rRNA from 1 species
AAUGUAAUGCAUACAACUUUAAUGCACCAGAUUCCAUUAUAACUCUAUAGUUAAGUGCACUUGGUUUAUAGUAGUACUGGGAUGGGUGACCUCCUAGGAAAUCUUAAUGUUUUACAGGC